rnacentral:lncRNA from 1 species
ACAGGAUGUCAAUCGAUUGAUGUUAAUCCCUUUUACAUUAUGCUUUUCCAAUUUUUCACGUUUUGGCUACAAGCAAUCGAUGAAUUCAGGCAAUCAAUCAAUUGACAUAGUUCAACUUUUCAAAAAAAAUUCAAAAUUUCAUGCAUGCAAUCGAUUGACAUAGUUCAACUUUCCAAAAAAAAAAAAUUGCAUGUAUGCAAUUGAUUGACACAGAAUAUCAAU